UACGAGGGGGCUAGCGUUGCUCGGAAUCACUGGGCGUAAAGGGUGCGUAGGCGGGUCUUUAAGUCAGGGGUGAAAUCCUGGAGCUCAACUCCAGAACUGCCUUUGAUACUGAGGAUCUUGAGUUCGGGAGAGGUGAGUGGAACUGCGAGUGUAGAGGUGAAAUUCGUAGAUAUUCGCAAGAACACCAGUGGCGAAGGCGGCUCACUGGCCCGAUACUGACGCUGAGGCACGAAAGCGUGGGGAGCAAACAGGG
rnacentral:rRNA from 1 species